GGAAUAAGAUUUGCGAAUUUCUGGCAUUUUCAUUCACAGCGAUUGAUACAAUCCAGGCUCCUCUUUCUGUAAAGCCAGCUUAAUGCACUCACACAAUACUUUGCUGACUUACUUUUCCUCCUGCUUUGUAACUUCAUUCCUUACAUGCUUUUAGUGUAUUGGGUAGUAAUUGAUGGAUAAUUGUGUUGCCCAGCAAAUUCUUUAUGUCAAUCUUCUGAAUGACAAAAGUAUACAUUGGUAGAAUUGGUCAACCAGGAGAUCAUUGAUUAGUGGACAUGCUGCUUCUCAAAGUCCAAGAUAUGAAAAAAUAUUGCUUCAGUUGACUUUCUUCUUAGAUGGACUUGUUUACAUGAUAUUAUUAAUAAUGAUUUUACACUGCAAACAUUUGAUAUUCGUUUAUGCAUAGUAAAAAUGCUCUUUUCCAAGGAUAAAGGGCUUUUAACUUACAAGAUUUAUGUGUGCUUGGUUGAGCCCUUGCAAUAAACUUAGCUUGCCUCAUUUUCUUCUUCCCGUGUCCAUGUUUUUAAAAUGGGUACAUAUUUCUAGAAGUAUCUUUUAGUUUUUCCUCUUUUUGGAGUUUGGU
rnacentral:misc_RNA from 1 species